CCUACGGGGGGCUGCAGUGGGGAAUAUUGGACAAUGGGCGAAAGCCUGAUCCAGCCAUGCCGCGUGUGUGAAGAAGGCCUUCGGGUUGUAAAGCACUUUCAGUGGGGAAGAAAGCCUUGGGGCUAAUACCCUCGAGGAAGGACAUCACCCACAGAAGAAGCACCGGCUAACUCCGUGCCAGCAGCCGCGGUAAUACGGAGGGUGCGAGCGUUAAUCGGAAUUACUGGGCGUAAAGCGCGCGUAGGCGGUCUGAUAAGCCGGUUGUGAAAGCCCCGGGCUCAACCUGGGAACGGCAUCCGGAACUGUCAGGCUAGAGUGCAGGAGAGGAAGGUAGAAUUCCCGGUGUAGCGGUGAAAUGCGUAGAGAUCGGGAGGAAUACCAGUGGCGAAGGCGGCCUUCUGGACUGACACUGACGCUGAGGUGCGAAAGCGUGGGUAGCAAACAGGAUUAGAUCCCCCGGUAGUC
rnacentral:rRNA from 1 species